rnacentral:rRNA from 1 species
AGGGUUUGAUCAUGGCUCAGAUUGAACGCUGGCGGCAGGCCUAACACAUGCAAGUCGAGCGGUAGAGAGAAGCUUGCUUCUCUUGAGAGCGGCGGACGGGUGAGUAAUGCCUAGGAAUCUGCCUGGUAGUGGGGGAUAACGUUCGGAAACGGACGCUAAUACCGCAUACGUCCUACGGGAGAAAGCAGGGGACCUUCGGGCCUUGCGCUAUCAGAUGAGCCUAGGUCGGAUUAGCUAGUUGGUGAGGUAAUGGCUCACCAAGGCGACGAUCCGUAACUGGUCUGAGAGGAUGAUCAGUCACACUGGAACUGAGACACGGUCCAGACUCCUACGGGAGGCAGCAGUGGGGAAUAUUGGACAAUGGGCGAAAGCCUGAUCCAGCCAUGCCGCGUGUGUGAAGAAGGUCUUCGGAUUGUAAAGCACUUUAAGUUGGGAGGAAGGGCAGUAAAUUAAUACUUUGCUGUUUUGACGUUACCGACAGAAUAAGCACCGGCUAACUCUGUGCCAGCAGCCGCGGUAAUACAGAGGGUGCAAGCGUUAAUCGGAAUUACUGGGCGUAAAGCGCGCGUAGGUGGUUUGUUAAGUUGGAUGUGAAAUCCCCGGGCUCAACCUGGGAACUGCAUUCAAAACUGACUGACUAGAGUAUGGUAGAGGGUGGUGGAAUUUCCUGUGUAGCGGUGAAAUGCGUAGAUAUAGGAAGGAACACCAGUGGCGAAGGCGACCACCUGGACUAAUACUGACACUGAGGUGCGAAAGCGUGGGGAGCAAACAGGAUUAGGUACCCUGGUAGUCCACGCCGUAAACGAUGUCAACUAGCCGUUGGAAGCCUUGAGCUUUUAGUGGCGCAGCUAACGCAUUAAGUUGACCGCCUGGGGAGUACGGCCGCAAGG